rnacentral:tRNA from 1 species
UCCCUGAUGGCUCAGAUGGUAAAGUGUCUGCCUGCAACGCGGGAGACCCAGGUUCGAUCCCUGGGUGGGGAA